CCUACGGGGGGCAGCAGUAGGGAAUCUUCCACAAUGGGCGAAAGCCUGAUGGAGCAACGCCGCGUGGGUGAAGAAGGUCUUCGGAUCGUAAAACCCUGUUGUUAGAGAAGAAAGUGCGUGAGAGUAACUGUUCACGUUUCGACGGUAUCUAACCAGAAAGCCACGGCUAACUACGUGCCAGCAGCCGCGGUAAUACGUAGGUGGCAAGCGUUAUCCGGAUUUAUUGGGCGUAAGGGGAACGCAGGCGGUCUUUUAAGUCUGAUGUGAAAGCCUUCGGCUUAACCGGAGUAGUGCAUUGGAAACUGGGAGACUGGAGUGCAGAAGAGGCGAGUGGAACUCCAUGUGUAGCGGUGAAAUGCGUAGAUAUAUGGAAGAACACCAGUGGCGAAAGCGGCUCUCUGGUCUGUAACUGACGCUGAGGUUCGAAAGCGUGGGUAGCAAACAGGAUUAGAUACCCCUGUAGUC
rnacentral:rRNA from 1 species